AGACAGGCAGGCAGUGGCUGUAGGACCCUCUCAGCUGGCACAGGAGGUACAGGACUGACCUCCUGGCACAGGCCUCUUCCAAAGAGGAUACCCCACCCAUGUUAUUGAAAGGGCCCUCACCUGGGGCAAAAACAGCCCUGGGAUCAUCAACUCGAUGAGGAACUCCCGGUCUCACAACCACAUUCCUUUGGAGCUUCCCUACCACUCUAACAUGCCUUCUAUCCCCAGGACCAUUAUUAACAACUACUCCAUUCUACAGGGCGAUCCCUCCAACAAGAACCACCUGUCUGAUCUGUUACAGUGUCUUCAGACUAUGCCCUCAGACUCAGGACACACUGACGAACUGCCCAUCCCUGCAACAACUCAAUAAAAAGGCUCUGACCUCCCUGAUACACAUAAAUUGAAAUAGUACUGCUGUUAAGCAGAGAAUGAAUGAGUGAUCAUUGUUAUCAAAAAAUUGCAAUUGUGCAAGAGGCAAGCUGAAACUAAUGGGGGAAAACAGGAACAUAAAUGUCUUAAACAAAACAGAUAAAUUAUAAUUCUAAAAUUAAACAUUGUCUUCACAUGGCAAAACAAUUCCGUGAUUAAAAUUCUGACAGUUAAUAGGAGAUGAUUUGUUUUAUUUUCCAAUUUCUCAAGAGGGUUAGGGGCAGGAACACUGAAUAAAAAAAAAGGGAAUCAAGAAAUGUCUUUAUGGCAGAGCUGUAAGGGUGAUUUAAAUUUGAGUGUGCUGAGUAUGCAGAAGUGAAGUGUGUGUGGGGUUUGGGGCCAGGGGAGAGUUUAGACCAAACAGUGAUUAAGAAACCUGUAAUCUCCCCAGAUGUUUGAGGGUAGGGUUUUCCAGGACAGUUGGGAGUGAGUCUGCUCUUAGUCUUCACAGACUCCUCUACAGGAGACCCUCUAGAUGAGCUCAUCCUCCUGCCCACCAGAUACAGUAACACAAACACAGACGCAACAGUCUGUCUCACUCUGCAUGCAGCCCACAAAGCACUUCAUGGGUGCUUAGACUUUCAUUUCUACCUUACAGCUCCCUUUCAACUCAAAGGGGACAGUAGUUAAAUAGGAAUACAAGGACAGUUAAAGAACAGAGGAGGAUAUGCCAUCUAGCCUGCUUG